GUUCGUGCGAUUUCUCUUUGGUUGCUGUACACCCUCCUCCUCAACAGUCACCAAUCAGAUGAAGUGUUGAAAACUAGCAGGUACCAACUCUUUAGACUAUAAAUUCAGAUCGAGCUGUCUUUGCAUUUUUCUUCACUUGAGCUUCUACAACUGCAAAUACCAUAAGGAGUAUCCCCGUCAAAGUAAGAAUCUGAAAUGUUUGUUCUUUUUGCUUAACUACAAUGCUCGAAACUUGAAUAGCAGAAACAGUCUGCAGCUUCAUUGUAAACUCACCAAGUCUCAUUGUACAUUUCUCAGAGGCCAGGACUAUCGCUUUCAUAACUGGAAAAUGUGCAAACAACCAAGAGUUUACUCUUCCAAUUACACACUUGCACCAAAAUGCAAGCAAUUUUUAGCGUAUAGAGUUCUGAGUUCAUGUUUAGAUGAGUGAAGCUUAGCACAGAAUCACUAUCCAUUUUUUGAACGUCAUACCGGUAAGAAGUUCUCCUGCCGGUUACUUCCCUUGUUCCUAUAAGCUAUGCUAAAGAAUCGAAAUAUGCUGCUUGCACCAACUUAUCCUAGAUCCUGCUGGAGAAAUUGUCCCCUAAAUCACAAUGCAAAAUCCAAAACCUACUAAGGAAUCGAAUCUAUACUUGAUUGUAGAAAAUACUCUUCCUUCUUCAGUAAUUCGCCCAUAUUUUCCCAAUCCAAAAAUCCAACGGCCGCAGUUACAAGAAAACCCUAGCAAUUUGGGGCCGGAGAGUAAGAGAGAGCGUACCAGUUUGCUGAGGCGCCGGCGAAUAGCCGUAGAUGGCUUGGAGUCUGGCGAGAGGUAUCAAAACAGAGAGAAGGAGGUUUGAGAAUGGCG
rnacentral:lncRNA from 1 species